GACGAGGGCGCGAGCGUUGUCCGGAUUAUUGGGCGUAAAGAGCUCGUAGGCGGCUUGUUGCGUCGACUGUGAAACCUGGCGGCUCAACCGUGUGGUCUGCAGUCGAUACGGGCAGGCUGGAGUUCGGUAGGGGAGACUGGAAUUCCUGGUGUAGCGGUGAAAUGCGCAGAUAUCAGGAGGAACACCGGUGGCGAAGGCAGGUCACUGGGCCGCAACUGACGCUGAGGAGCGAAAGCAUGGGGAGCGAA
rnacentral:rRNA from 1 species